rnacentral:lncRNA from 10 species
UGUGUGGGAAUUCAAGCUUAACAAUAAACAUCAAGACAUUUUUGAUAAAAAUGAAUCCACUGACAUCGGGGAGGAGCAAGAGAACAGCACGCUGACACUGGGUCAGAGGCUAAGACCGACAUUUCUGGGAACCACUCCCGGAAGGGCACAGAGGAGACGCUUUCAGCCUCUCAUCAGCCAGCCUGGCCUGUAGCUGCUGCACGUUAUGAGUGUGUUCCUGGCAUGACUGCUUCUAACAAAGAAAUGCUGAGGCAGUGUCACGCUGGUGUCUGUCCUCCUUACAGAAUGCCUGAACAGUUCCAUUGACUCAAAGUGAAGAUCAAAAGAACCAAAUGACAGCAAUAGCCAAGUGUAAUCAUCAGUAACCCUGUGUUCUAUCCACAGGUCUUCAUUUAGCUACUGAAAAGAUUUGAUCUCAAAUCAAUGAUCUAACCACCCAUGACCA